CUGGCGGCGUGCUUAACACAUGCAAGUCGAACGAAGCGGCAGUGAAGGAGGCUUCGGCCAAUGGAUCUGUCGACUUAGUGGCGGACGGGUGAGUAACGCGUGAGCAACCUGCCUUUCAGAGGGGGAUAACGUUUGGAAACGAACGCUAAUACCGCAUAAUGUAAUUUCGCUGCAUGACGGAAUUACCAAAGGAGCAAUCCGCUGAGAGAUGGGCUCGCGUCCGAUUAGAUAGUUGGUGGGGUAACGGCCUACCAAGUCGACGAUCGGUAGCCGGACUGAGAGGUUGAACGGCCACAUUGGGACUGAGACACGGCCCAGACUCCUACGGGAGGCAGCAGUGGGGAAUAUUGCACAAUGGGCGCAAGCCUGAUGCAGCAACGCCGCGUGAGGGAAGACGGUUUUCGGAUUGUAAACCUCUGUCCUUGGUGAAGAUAAUGACGGUAGCCGAGGAGGAAGCCACGGCUAACUACGUGCC
rnacentral:rRNA from 1 species